rnacentral:rRNA from 1 species
GACGAACGCUGGCGGCGUGCUUAACACAUGCAAGUCGAACGCUGAAGCUUGGUGCUUGCCCUGGGUGGAUGAGUGGCGAACGGGUGAGUAAUACGUGAGUAACCUGCCCUUGACUCUGGGAUAAGCCUGGGAAACUGGGUCCAAUACUGGAUACGACAUGUCACCGCAUGGUGGUGUGUGGAAAGGGUUUUACUGGUUUUGGAUGGGCUCACGGCCUAUCAGCUUGUUGGUGGGGUAAUGGCUCACCAAGGCGACGACGGGUAGCCGGCCUGAGAGGGUGACCGGCCACACUGGGACUGAGACACGGCCCAGACUCCUACGGGAGGCAGCAGUGGGGAAUAUUGCACAAUGGGCGGAAGCCUGAUGCAGCGACGCCGCGUGAGGGAUGACGGCCUUCGGGUUGUAAACCUCUUUCAGCACGGAAGAAGCGAAAGUGACGGUACGUGCAGAAGAAGCGCCGGCUAACUACGUG